CUUCACUCAACUGUUUAGAUAACUUUAAACUGGUUUUACGUCCUAGCCAUGGAAGAGUAUAUGCUUGUUUAUUGGCAAAGCUGUCACCAUUUAAUUGGUAUCAGAUUCUGACUGGCACAAGUAACAUUC
rnacentral:snoRNA from 1 species